UAUCCAUGAUGGGGGUAUGCAUUAAGCAAAUCGUUGAAUCUCUCCAAAGAUUGGUAAAAAGUUUCAUUAUCUUUUUAUGCAAAAUUCAUGAUUUGCCUUUUUAAUGCA